rnacentral:rRNA from 1 species
UACGUAGGGUGCAAGCGUUAAUCGGAAUUACUGGGCGUAAAGCGUGCGCAGGCGGCUUUGCAAGACAGAUGUGAAAUCCCCGGGCUCAACCUGGGAACUGCAUUUGUGACUGCAUGGCUAGAGUGCGGCAGAGGGGGAUGGAAUUCCGCGUGUAGCAGUGAAAUGCGUAGAUAUCAGGAAGAACACCCGUGGCUAAGGCGGCUCUCUAGUACGGUACUGACGCUGAGACGCGAAAGCGUGGGGAGCGAACAGG